GGAAUGGCUAGCUUCAUGUAGGACCCCCAAUCCUGCAAGGCUUCUGAAGACCACCCUUUUGGAGGAAAAGGAAAACCUGCCUCACACCAACCUUUGAACCAGUUUGAUGUUCACAAAGCUGAAAGUUCUGGCAAGAUUUCAAGAAAAAUAAUUUAAAAAAGAGAAAGAAA